rnacentral:rRNA from 2 species
CCUCUUCCCAUUCCGAACAGAGAAGUUAAGCCUCACCACGCCGAUGGUACUGCGAAAGUGGGAGAGUAGGUAACCGCCCCCU